UACGGAGGGUGCAAGCGUUAAUCGGAAUUACUGGGCGUAAAGCGCACGCAGGCGGUUUGUUAAGUCAGAUGUGAAAUCCCCGGGCUCAACCUGGGAACUGCAUUUGAAACUGGCAAGCUAGAGUCUCGUAGAGGGGGGUGGAAUUCCAGGUGUAGCGGUGAAAUGCGUAGAGAUCUGGAGGAAUACCGGUGGCGAAGGCGGCCCCCUGGACGAAGACUGACGCUCAGGUGCGAAAGCGUGGGGAGCAAACAGG
rnacentral:rRNA from 1 species